AUUGAACGCUGGCGGCAGGCUUAACACAUGCAAGUCGAGCGAGCGGCGGACGGGUGAGUAAUGUCUGGGAAACUGCCUGAUGGAGGGGGAUAACAACUGGAAACGGUAGCUAAUACCGCAUACCCUCAGAUGUGCCCAGAUGGGAUUAGCGAGUAGGGUGGGUAAUGUCUCACAGAGGCGACGAUCCCUAGCUGGUCUGAGAGGAUGACCAGCCACACGGGAACUGAGACCCGGUCCAGGCUCCUACGGGAGGCAGAAGUGGGGAAUAUUGCACAAGGGGCGCAGGCCUGAGGCAGCCAUGCCGCGUGUGUGAAGAAGGCCUUCGGGUUGUAAAGCACUUUCAGCGAGGAGGCGUUACUCGCAGAAGAAGCACCGGCUAACUCCGUGCCAGCCGCCGCGGUAAUUC
rnacentral:rRNA from 1 species